rnacentral:lncRNA from 1 species
CAAAAGAAUAUGUGAAGGGAAGUAGGGUUUGGAUUCGUAUUUUAUUCCUCAUUGAUUUGUCCAAGAUGACAUUUAUGGAGUAAUCCCUAGUCACAUCUGAUUUUUUAUUUAAAAUUAAGGUCUUUCACUUCAAAUCGAAGGACACAGAGAAUUUACAAUGCUGGGGGUUAAAGAGGCUCUAAUGUAAAACAGAUGAAAAGGGAAUGGAACUAAGGAAAGGCGAUUUGGAAGCCUCCCUCCCUCCCCCAUCAGCAGUCCUGAGGACCUCUGCUCCAGGUUGCUCAAAGUGUGAGCUUCCAUGAAUUACUGGGGGCAAUUGUUAAAAACGCAGAUUCCUGGGCCCCAUCCCUCUGGUUCAGACUUCAAAAAUUGACAUCUUUUGACAAGAACCUGCAGUGAUUCAUAUGUACUCUAAAGCUUCCAGAUGCAAGAAAGCCCGUUGGACUGGAGUGGGGUGCUCCAGAUAAUUUUAAUAAUUAAUCUGACAUUUGGGAGCCAUUCAACUACAUGGCUCUCUUAAGUGAUAUUAUCUCAGUCUGUGGUUCUCAAAGUGUGAUCCUGCAAUAUCAGCAACACCUGGAACUUUCAGAAAAGCACAUUCUUAGGCCCCACGGCAGCCCUGAAUCAGAAUCCGGGGCAUAGCCUAGCAAUCUAUGUUUUAACAAGCCCUGCAGGUGAUUCUGAUGCUGCUAAAGUUUGAAAACUGCUUGAUAAAACUCGCUCCCUAAAUCACAUUCCCCAACAAUUCAAUAACACACAUUGGCACUCUCUGAGCUGCUUCUCCCAGGAACUUCAGAAGGUCCAGGUUCAAAGAAGUUAGAGUCCUCAAGGAUCUGCUGGUGGCACUUUCUUUGCAUCCCUGACUUCAGUACUGGAGUGAUCAGGAGAAUGUCAAGUUUCAGGUGGUAGAAAGAAGUCUUUCUCUGAAUAUAAACAAAUGGUGGCUUUUAUAAAGUUUUAAUUUCAUUCUUUGUACUUUUCAGAUUUUCCAGCUGUUAAGCAAUUGGGAUCAGCAAGAAUACAGCACAUACCUGGAAAAUAAAAGCAAUCAGCACAAAGUGAUUUUGUCCACAGGAUGUACUACCUCUACCUUCCAGGCUGUGGUUCCACCAACUCUGCUUGGUCAAGACCGCUUCUUACAUUCUGAUGAAGUGUCUCUGGGAACUGGCUGUCCUGUAACUAACAUAACUGAGAAGGGGUAUGAGUUUAAUUAUCUUGUCACCGAGUGUGGGAUUCAGAAAGAGGUAAGAAGAACUGUGACCAUUUCAAAAUAACAAACUAACCUGCCCCCCCCCCCACCAAAUAAUCUUGCUGUGGCCACUGUGCUUAAGUCAGUGCAAGGCCAGAGAUCUCAUUUUUAUGACACUUGGGUUUGGUACUUUUAGGAUGGGAAGACCAAUGCGACCCAGGAAUUGGCCUUGAAGAGCUCUCGGCCCAUUAGGAGACAGUGCAGUGUCAUAUAUUUUAUUAUGACUUUUCAAGCACUCAUAAAUCUUUGGUCCUUAGAUCUCCUAGAAACACCAAAAAAAAAAAAAAA